rnacentral:rRNA from 1 species
AUGCAAGUCGAGCGGGCGUAGCAUACGUCAGCGGCAGACGGGUGAGUAACGCGUGGGAACGUACCUUUUGGUUCGGAACAACACAGGGAAACUUGUGCUAAUACCGGAUAAGCCCUUACGGGGAAAGAUUUAUCGCCGAAAGAUCGGCCCGCGUCUGAUUAGCUAGUUGGUGAGGUAAUGGCUCACCAAGGCGACGAUCAGUAGCUGGUCUGAGAGGAUGAUCAGCCACAUUGGGACUGAGACACGGCCCAAACUCCUACGGGAGGCAGCAGUGGGGAAUAUUGGACAAUGGGGGCAACCCUGAUCCAGCCAUGCCGCGUGAGUGAUGAAGGCCCUAGGGUUGUAAAGCUCUUUUGUGCGGGAAGAUAAUGACGGUACCGCAAGAAUAAGCCCCGGCUAACUUCGUGCCAGCAGCCGCGGUAAUACGAAGGGGGCUAGCGUUGCUCGGAAUCACUGGGCGUAAAGGGUGCGUAGGCGGGUCUUUAAGUCAGGGGUGAAAUCCUGGAGCUCAACUCCAGAACUGCCUUUGAUACUGAAGAUCUUGAGUUCGGGAGAGGUGAGUGGAACUGCGAGUGUAGAGGUGAAAUUCGUAGAUAUUCGCAAGAACACCAGUGGCGAAGGCGGCUCACUGGCCCGAUACUGACGCUGAGGCACGAAAGCGUGGGGAGCAAACAGGAUUAGAUACCUGGUAGUCCACGCCGUAAACGAUGAAUGCCAGCCGUUAGUGGGUUUACUCACUAGUGGCGCAGCUAACGCUUUAAGCAUUCCGCCUGGGGAGUACGGUCGCAAGAUUAAAACUCAAAGGAAUUGACGGGGGCCCGCACAAGCGGUGGAGCAUGUGGUUUAAUUCGACGCAACGCGCAGAACCUUACCAGCCCUUGACAUGUCCAGGACCGGUCGCAGAGAUGUGACCCUCUCUUCGGAGCCUGGAGCACAGGUGCUGCAUGGCUGUCGUCAGCUCGUGUCGUGAGAUGUUGGGUUAAGUCCCGCAACGAGCGCAACCCCCGUCCUUAGUUGCUACCAUUUAGUUGAGCACUCUAAGGAGACUGCCGGUGAUAAGCCGCGAGGAAGGUGGGGAUGACGUCAAGUCCUCAUGGCCCUUACGGGCUGGGCUACACACGUGCUACAAUGGCGGUGACAAUGGGAUGCUAAGGGGCGACCCUUCGCAAAUCUCAAAAAGCCGUCUCAGUUCGGAUUGGGCUCUGCAACUCGAGCCCAUGAAGUUGGAAUCGCUAGUAAUCGUGGAUCAGCACGCCACGGUGAAUACGUUCCCGGGCCUUGUACACACCGCCCGUCACACCAUGGGAGUUGGUUUUACCUGAAGACGGUGCGCUAACCCGCAAGGGAGGCAGCCGGCCAU